UCCCGAUUCCUUCUUUCCCUAAUCUCAAUUUUCCUUCUUCUCCUUCUCAUCGCCGUCGUUGGGAGGAGGAGAAAUCGAAGAGGGGAUUAGGGCAAUCCUCUCUUAUCUCUUGCGGUUUCGAGCAAAGCAGCAGUGUUCCGUCAGGGAGGUCCAAUGUCUUCUACUCUUCAUGGAAUUUCUGUUCCUUUUCCUUGCCGGCAUAGAACGAUCGUCGAAGAUUUGAUCUCACUAUCACCUCAAAGCUUAUCGCCAGUGUAUCUCUACAUUUCUUCAUCUCCGGCCCAGAUUCACCGCUGUCCUGUGCCAGGAGCCGUUAAGCCCCAGUUGUGCUGUUCGUGAGGCAUCCACAGCUCCAGCUUCUUUCCAACGGCAAGCUUCCCCGGUCAUGGGUCAACGGCUGCGCGAUUGGAUUUGGGAUACUAGGCGGAGACACAUCUCGACGAGAC